ensembl:lncRNA
GUUUUUUUAAAGUAACGCAAUAGUUACUUUUCAAGUAAUUAAUUACUUUUAGAAUAUUGUAACUCAGUUACUUUUUUGAAGAAGUAACUAGUAACUAUAAUUGAAUUACUUUUUCAAAGUAACUUGCCCAACAAUAUGAGCAAGUGAGUUAAUUUUGUCAGUCAAAGUUAAAUGUAUGUAUGCUCUUAUCUCAGAGGCUGUGAUCCACUGAAAUAAACUGAAGCAGUCUUAUGGAGUUAAUGCAAGGGCUUAGAUUUGGCAUGGACGGAAGGGACAUGUCCCCACCAAUAAUUUGAUCUGUUCAAGUAAAGAAAAACAAACCCGAUAGAAAGAAAAAAACGAUCUCUCAACAUCUCAUUCACCCAGCGGUGCAGAAAGAGUUAAAUUACGUUCUCUACUGGAGUCCUACCUCAUGUAACAAAUAUGGCCAAUGUGAUUGGCUGUGCCUUUCAGGGAGCUCUGUUUAGUUUUAGCAGCGGCAAGCUCCUCUCCUCCUGCGGGGAACUGCAAGGAGGAGAGGAGGAUGGCAGCAAAAAGGAAGAACCUGGAUAUAAGAAAGUAUUCUUCAAAGAAACCUGAGAGACUGGAACAAAUAUGCCAGCAGUUUAUCUCAGUUAACGAGAGGAGAAGACAUGUGUUUGGCUCCUUCACAUAGUGGACAUUGAGUUGUUGUGUGAGGCACCAGUAGUCCAUGUCUGUUGCUGUAACAGUAGUUUAUGUUUAGAAUAAAAAAUCCCAGCUCACUGAUUUGAUCGGGGCAAUAGUGCCUAAAAUGUUGCCUAAUUUUGCUGAGAGAUCUUUUACUUUGUGGUAAUCUUAGAUGAGUAGUUUUAUGGACAAAACCCACCAGGUCAUUCAGUGUUCCCUUAGUGCUAAUGUAUCAGAGAUGUUGGUGUAAUAUAACUGAAGUAAUGUUGUUAAGUCCUUAAAGUCAUAUUCUUUUAUUGUCAUGACUGUAUUUGAAGCUAUUUUUAUUUUUGUAUGAUACCUGAUUUAUAUGGAAUAUGGCUGAAGUAAACUAAAGUCUAAAAUACUUAGUCAGUCAUUUGUUUAAUAGUAAUUUAACAUUAUAUAAUUCACAUAUAAAACUAUGAAUUGUAAUUUUAAAUGGUUUAAAAGCAUGUAGAAGAGCAUAUGUAGGCAAGUAUAUUUCUCCUUUUUUAUCAAGAAGCAAAGACAAAAAGGGAAAAAAAGAAACAGGACAGGGUUCGGUGGUUGAAUCAUCUGUCCCCACCAAUGCCAAAACCAAAUCUAUGCCCUUGAUAACUUACUCUAUAUUUUGUGUUAUAUCUUCUAUUUAUGUCAUCAUAAAAUGUUCCGCUAAUGUUCACUAUGCUAUGCACUAUCAGGAUCUUGAUUAACUUUUUAUUUUAUUUUUUUAUUGAACAAAGCAUUACAAUAAACUGUUCAGGUUUUUUUAGGUUUUAUUUUUUACUGAUAAACUGAAUGAUUUGAACACUUUUGAAUGUUUUAUCUGAUUUUGAAUGAAAGAUUCAAACAAUAAAAAAUGUUUCCAUCUGAUCAUUUAUCUCCUCGCUGUAAUGCUGCUGUGUCUUCGCAGCAGAUAAACAAAGAUGUUGCGUGUAGAGUUUUGAAAAGCAAAUAAAGAUUCUGAUCGAAACUUUGUUUAUGUCUGACUGAUCUGACUGUUUAUGUCUGUGUCAAUGGAAAAUUGUACUUAGUAGUCAGUAUAAGCUUUUAAUGAUAUAAGUUUGCAUAUGAUAGAAUACUGUAUGAUGACCUUUUGAUGACUUAGACUGUUGUCCACUACAGGACUGUUUUAUAAAUUCUUUCUCACAGCUGAAUAAGCUGUUAUUAUUUCACUCCUGCCAGGAAGAGGAAGAGCUGGACACUCUUAUCUGACGCUCCCUAACAAGAAGAGAGGCCGCGUCUUUCUGUAUCCCACAACACACACGCAUACACCUAAACCACUCUUAUCUUCACUCCCUACACACUAACUUUCCUCUGCCUAUGAAUAGACGUAUUCACUGUUGUAUUAUUUUUGCAUAUAAAUAAAGACAAGUGCAAGAACAGAGCGCUGAUCACAGGGCCCCCACUCUGUUGUGAGCGUUCUGUGACCGCCCUUGCAAGUAAAGA